rnacentral:rRNA from 1 species
GAUGAACGCUGGCGGCGUGCCUAAUACAUGCAAGUCGAGCGAACAGACGAGGAGUUUGCUCCUUUGACGUUAGCGGCGGACGGGUGAGUAACACGUGGGUAACCUACCUAUAAGACUGGGAUAACUUCGGGAAACCGGAGCUAAUACCGGAUAAUAUUUCGAACCGCAUGGUUCGAUAGUGAAAGAUGGCUUUGCUAUCACUUAUAGAUGGACCUGCGCCGUAUUAGCUAGUUGGUAAGGUAACGGCUUACCAAGGCAACGAUACGUAGCCGACCUGAGAGGGUGAUCGGCCACACUGGAACUGAGACACGGUCCAGACUCCUACGGGAGGCAGCAGUAGGGAAUCUUCCGCAAUGGGCGAAAGCCUGACGGAGCAACGCCGCGUGAGUGAUGAAGGUCUUCGGAUCGUAAAACUCUGUUAUUAGGGAGGAACAAAUGUGUAAGUAACUGUGCACGUCUUGACGGUACCUAAUCAGAAAGCCACGGCUAACUACGUGCCAGCAGCCGCGGUAAUACGUAGGUGGCAAGCGUUAUCCGGAAUUAUUGGGCGUAAAGCGCGCGUAGGCGGUUUUUUAAGUCUGAUGUGAAAGCCCACGGCUCAACCGUGGAGGGUCAUUGGAAACUGGAAAACUUGAGUGCAGAAGAGGAAAGUGGAAUUCCAUGUGUAGCGGUGAAAUGCGCAGAGAUAUGGAGGAACACCAGUGGCGAAGGCGACUUUCUGGUCUGUAACUGACGCUGAUGUGCGAAAGCGUGGGGAUCAAACAGGAUUAGAUAUCCUGGUAGUCCACGCCGUAAACGAUGAGUGCUAAGUGUUAGGGGGGUUCCGCCCCUUAGUGCUGCAGCUAACGCAUUAAGCACUCCGCCUGGGGAGUACGACCGCAAGGUUGAAACUUAAAGGAAUUGACGGGGACCCGCACAAGCGGUGGAGCAUGUGGUUUAAUUCGAAGCAACGCGAAGAACCUUACCAAAUCUUGACAUCUUUUGACCCUUCUAGAGAUAGAAGUUUCCCCUUCGGGGGACAAAGUGACAGGUGGUGCAUGGUUGUCGUCAGCUCGUGUCGUGAGAUGUUGGGUUAAGUCCCGCAACGAGCGCAGCCCUUAAGCUUAGUUGCCAUCAUUAAGUUGGGCACUCUAAGUUGACUGCCGGCGACAAACCGGAGGAAGGUGGGGAUGACGUCAAAUCAUCAUGCCCCUUAUGAUUUGGGCUACACACGUGCUACAAUGGACAAUACAAAGGGCAGCGAAACCGCGAGGUCAAGCAAAUCCCAUAAAGUUGUUCUCAGUUCGGAUUGUAGUCUGCAACUCGACUACAUGAAGCUGGAAUCGCUAGUAAUCGUAGAUCAGCAUGCUAUGGUGAAUACGUUCCCGGGUCUUGUACACACCGCCCGUCACACCACGAGAGUUUGUAACACCCGAAGCCGGUGGAGUAACCAUUUGGAGCUAGCCGUCGAAGGUGGGACAAAUGAUUGGGGUGAAGUCGUAACAAGGUAGCCGUAUCGGAAGG